GACGAACGCUGGCGGCGUGCCUAAUACAUGCAAGUAGAACGCUGAAGGAGGAGCUUGCUCUUCUGGAUGAGUUGCGAACGGGUGAGUAACGCGUAGGUAACCUGCCUGGUAGCGGGGGAUAACUAUUGGAAACGAUAGCUAAUACCGCAUAACAGUAGAUGUUGCAUGACAUUUGCUUAAAAGGUGCAAUUGCACCACUACCAGAUGGACCUGCGUUGUAUUAGCUAGUUGGUGGGGUAACGGCUCACCAAGGCGACGAUACAUAGCCGACCUGAGAGGGUGAUCGGCCACACUGGGACUGAGACACGGCCCAGACUCCUACGGGAGGCAGCAGUAGGGAAUCUUCGGCAAUGGACGGAAGUCUGAACGAGCAACGCCGCGUGAGUGAAGAAGGUUUUCGGAUCGUAAAGCUCUGUUGUAAGAGAAGAACGAGUGUGAGAGUGGAAAGUUCACACUGUGACGGUAUCUUACCAGAAAGGGACGGCUAACUACGUG
rnacentral:rRNA from 1 species